GAUCCUGGCUCAGAAUCAACGCUGGCGGCGUGCCUAACACAUGCAAGUCGAACGCGAAAGGGGCUUCGGCCCUGAGUAGAGUGGCAAACGGGUGAGUAACACGUGGGUGACCUACCUUCGAGUGGGGGAUAACGUCCCGAAAGGGACGCUAAUACCGCAUGACAUCCUGCCUUUGAACAGGCGGAGAUCAAAGCCGGGGAUCGCAAGACCUGGCGCUUGAAGAGGGGCCCGCGUCUGAUUAGCUAGUUGGUGAGGUAACGGCCCACCAAGGCGACGAUCAGUAUCCGGCCUGAGAGGGCGGACGGACACACUGGGACUGAGACACGGCCCAGACUCCUACGGGAGGCAGCAG
rnacentral:rRNA from 1 species